GAACAAGGCAACAAAGGCCUGUGCUUGAUUUACAACUCUGGCAGAGUGUGAAAUUAUUUCUGUAGAAGUCCAAACCUGCUGCCUCAACUGUCUUCAGAUGUGCUGACUAAUGCAUAACCGUACACUCCGUGUUAAAGGCAUUGGUUGAUGCGGGUACAUUUAAAAGACAUUUCGACAGGGACAAGGAGAGGAAGAGUUUGGAGGGAAAUGGGACCAGCUCGGCUGGGAAUCCUGUCGGCUUGGACCAGAUGGUGACGAGAGGGCGUACAGGAGCAAGAUAUGCCAGUGGUAUCACAGCAACAACCUCGCUCUCAACGCCACCAAGACCAAAGAACCGAUUGCGGACUUCAGAAAGGGCAAGUCAGGGAAACACACACCCACCCUCGGAGGGAUCAGAAGUGGAAAGAGCAGAGGCUAUUUCAGAGAUCCAGCACGGAACAAACCCUUCCAGCCCAGUAAUCCCAACCUUAUCGCAGGACAAUUUACAGUGACCAAUUAACCUAGUAACCGGUACGUCUUUGGACUGUGGGAGGAAACCGGAGCACCCGGAGGAAACCCAUGUGUUCACAGGGAGGAAGCACAGACUCCUUACAGAGGACGCAGGGACUGAACUCCAACUCCCGCAACCCAAGCUGUAAUAUCGUCACACCAACUGCUACGCUUCAGCGAAGGAAAUUGUUUUAAGUGCAGAUAAGGGGCAAAAGUCAGGGCUAAUCAGGACUGCCUUUCUGCGAGGUACAUGGACAGAUUACGUCUGGGUGACGACCUUCAGGGUGGAACUGAGACAAAAUUUCGGAACUUUACUUCAGAAUCGGUCAGAAGCAGGUUCAGUAUCACUGAAAUCCGUUGUUUUGUGUCAGCAGUGGAAUGCAAUCCAUAAUAAUAAACCGCUAUAAACUACAAUAAGAAAGAUAUAUUAAAAAUUAAAUUAAGUAGUGGAAAAAGAGAGGGAAAAAUUAGAGAGGCAGUAUUCAUGGGUUCAUUGUCCAUUCAAAAACCUGAUAGCAGAGGGGAAGAAGCUGUUCCCAAAACAUUGAGUGCGUAUCUUCAGGCUCCUGUACCUGCCCCUUGAUGAUGGCAAUGAGAAGAGGGUAUGUCCUGGGUCAUGCGAGUCCUUAAUGACAAAUGACACCUUCGUGAGGCAUCGCCUUUUGAAGGUGCCCUCGGUGCUGGGGAGCCUGGUGCCCAUGAUGGAGCUGGCUGAGUUUACAACUUUCCGCAGCUUUUUCCGAUCCCGUGCGGUGGCCCCUCCGCACCAGACAGUGAUGCCACCGGUUAGAAUUUCAGACUUUCAGCCCCGACAACGGGCAGGAGGAGAGUGCAGUAUUUUAAAUGUUCACACAUCGCAUCAAUCAUGAAUAUGCAAUAAUUUGUUUGUGCUUAUCAGGCAACAGUCAUACCGAGAUGGUUUGUUUAUGUAAUGUGAUUAAUCUAAUUACCUUGGCUGCUAGGGGUAAUUAACUAAUUUGCAUGUAUAAUGUACAGCUAAGUAGACAAUUAAUAUGUUUUCCAUGUUAAAGAAUCAAAAAGCCAAUAUUCAUAAAGAUACAAUUAAAAUUUUUGAU